AGCAUGUUCCUGCUCAAAUCGGCGGACCAUACUGGGGAUUUACUUUUCACAAAUGUGCAAACCCAAGUGAGGAGCUGGAGGCUGCUGGUUUUGGCACAGCCUUGUCUGAUGCCAACACAGGUCCUGACACUUUGAGUUCCCUGAGUGGCCCUUAACAUCUGGACUCCCCAUCAGUGGCAGAGGGUCCGGACACCACUGGGUCUUCCUCGUAGUCCUCAGGGAUCUGCCGGUCCAGGUUCUCAUGCACCUCAAGAACCUGUACAAACAAAAACACAAGGAGCGAUUGAAUCAAAAACUCAUUAUAGUCACAACAACUUCAUUAAACGACUUAAUUUAACUUCAUUAAAUUAUUUAUAUCUAGGGUUUGA